rnacentral:rRNA from 1 species
AUGACCGCUCAGGGUAAUAUUUUUAGCUCGAUGAUGAUUAAUGCAGGUUUUCCCAUUGUCAGGCUCAACACCUUCCUCAGGUCUGCAGUCAUGCCUAUCAUUGCAGCAUAUGGCCCAUGGAGCUCUGGUUUUGGUCUUAGAGAUGCCCGAGUGGAGUUUAGAGUUGCAAUCACUGAAGAGGAGGGCACGCUCACUAUUACUGAAGCCACCAAGAUGGUCACCUUGCAUAACUCCACUAAUGCUAUUGUUGAGCAGAUGCCCAUGGAAGCUAUUUUUUCAGUGUCUGAACUGAAUGAGGUGGACUCAGUUACUUCUCACAGCAUCUCUACUCUGAAUCCUAGGUUGGAGAGCACGGUCCCCCAUGAGAUUUCCUUGCUGCAAAUGCCUGACCCCAAUGAUCUUCCUCCUUCUGAUGACCUGCCUACCCAAGUGCUUGCUGUGACUGAUCUUUCUGCCCCGGAUGGCCUGCCUACCCAAAUGCCUGCUGUGGUUAGUCGUCUUGGGAAGGCCCCUGCUCCUGAAUCCUUUGUUAAUCUGCGACGGAGCACUCGCAAGAACAAGUAUGAUGGCUUCAAAGUGCCAUCACUCUCAGAGACAAAGAGCAGAGCUUCUAAGGUGAAACCACGGGUUGUUCCUUCCGCUGCAACUUCCAUCUCCAUAACUGAACUCCCUGACGAAGCAGAACUGCCGCCUCCCACCCCGAUCCCAGUCAUUCAGCAUAUUGGCAAUGUUAUGUGUGGAAUCCCAGUCGCUGAACUUUCGGAGGAGGAGCUCCUGGCUAGCAAGGACGCAGGGCAAUCUUCUGAUGCUGCUUGA